AGGAGCUCUGGGCAGCUCCUAACUUCUCCUCCACCUUGUGCUGUUACUCGUUGACUUUGGACCUCUGAAGAAGAGAGAAAGAAACCAGAACACGUGAUCACUGUUUGACAGUCCCUGGUUAUCUGCCUCAUCUCCAGUGUGCAAAAAUGCAUGUUGUUGAGUGUGAGCCUAACCUCCAUCCAUGUAAGUCAACAUUAUUAUGGCCAAACGGAAACACGAUGUGUCACAAAGAACCUCGAGUGGACACAUGUCCGGGUGAUUCUGGUGGUGGAGUGAUAGCCAAAAACAACAAGAUUCAUGGUGUGUAUGUUGGUGGUAAAAAAUGUGCCUGUACCAAACCAGGUAUUUCGCUGAAGGUCUGCUCUUACAUUGAUUGGAUAAAUCAAGUCAUUAAUGGAAUGGAAAUGGAAAAUAAUAAAAUGAAAAUAACAUCCAAAAUAAACA